GUACUGCCGAAGAGUCCCAAACAAGUGGGACGAAAUAGCUGUCCGGUAC
rnacentral:hammerhead_ribozyme from 1 species